CCAAAGAGCCAUAUCACCCUGCAGUACUCACCUGGUUUCCCACUGAAGCUAAGCAGGGUUGAGCCUGGCCGGUACCGAAUGGGAGACCUCCUGAGGAAAACUAAUGACGCUUUUCCAC
rnacentral:rRNA from 1 species